AUUGAACGCUGGCGGCAGGCCUAACACAUGCAAGUCGAACGAGCGGCGGACGGGUGAGUAAUGUCUGGGAAUCUGCCCGAUAGAGGGGGAUAACUACUGGAAACGGUGGCUAAUACCGCAUACUAUCGGAUGAACCCAUAUGGGAUUAGCUAGUAGGUGGGGUAAAGGCUCACCUAGGCGACGAUCUCUAGCUGGUCUGAGAGGAUGACCAGCCACACUGGGACUGAGACACGGUCCAGACUCCUACGGGAGGCAGCAGUGGGGAAUAUUGCACAAUGGGCGCAAGCCUGAUGCAGCCAUGCCGCGUGUAUGAAGAAGGCCUUAGGGUUGUAAAGUACUUUCAGCGAGGAGGCGUUACUCGCAGAAGAAGCACCGGCUAACUCCGUGCCAGCAGCCGCGGUAAUUC
rnacentral:rRNA from 1 species